UCUAAUCCCAGCAGGGAUGGCAAGUGCAGUUUUCAUUUCAGAGAAGCAGCCCAUGUGUGUUUAGUGUAAGUGGCAAGCAGACUUGUAGGGCAGUCCCAUGACUCUUGUUUCUGGGCGUUACUAGUGCGAUUGUUAUGUCAUGUGACAAAAAAGAGAUGACCUGGAGGAGCCUACUAUGAUCUCAGGAACCCUUCAAGAGCAGUUUUCUUUGGCCGGGGUGGAGGGGAAGUCAGAGAUGAGAAACGUGCUUUUGGAGAUAGCUUGGAGACACCUGGCCAGGAAUGUGGAUGGCCUCUGAAGCUGAGAACAGCCUCAGCUGAGAGGCAGCAAGCAAAGAGGGACCUCAGCCCUCCAACCACAAGAAAAUGAAUCCAGCCAGCAACCUGAACGAGCUGGGAGCCGACACAUCCCAGAGCCUCCAGAAAGGAGCGCAGCCCCCGGACAUCUCUACUGCAGCCUGUGAGACUCUCCGCAGAGGACGCAGCUGAGCCAUGCUGACCUGCAGAACUUCCAGCUAUGGAAUUUGUGUUUAGGCUGUUCGGUCUGUGGUCAUUUGUUACAGAGCAAUAGAAAAAUAAUACAGUGAGUAUGUCUCAAAUAUCGCACAGGACAUGGACUGAAAAAGCAUCAGUCAAAUUUAACUGGGUCUUCUGUCAUUUUGUCUGCUAAAUCUGGCAACCUUAAAUCCCAGGUAAGGCACGGACAGAGUCGGUGGGGCAUAGACUCACUCAAGAUGUCCCCAACUGGCACAGCGUUCCCCAGACUGGAAGUGGUUUGCACACUCCCUCCAACCAGACAAAAAAGAGAGGGUUUCCAACGAACCCACCCAAUAGCUGCACACAAAUUGUAGCAACUUUCCUCACCUGGAGCCCAUACAUAGAGUUCAGGGAUCUGUGACCUCAGAUGGGAAAAUCCGUACACCUUCAUUUUCACUACUGUCUAACUUAAAUAUUUCCUUCAAUUAAGAAUAUAGGCAUUGUCAGUACUUAUGUUAUUGUUACCAAUAUAAAUCACAUUACAGCUUUUCAAUGGGAAUGGCAAUCAUUAAAAAGUCAGGAAACAACUGUUUGAUAAAUAGGCUGUUGAGAAAUAGGAAUGCUUUUACACUGUUGGUGGGAGUGUAAAUUAGUGCAACCAUUGCCAAAGGCAGUGUGGUGAUUCCUCAAGGAUCUAGAACCAGAAAUACCAUUUGACCCAGCAAUCCCAUUACUGGGUAUAUACCCAAAGGAUUAUAAAUCAUUCUACUAUAAAGAUACAUGCACACGUAAGUUUACUGCAGCACUGUUCACAAUAGCAAAGACUUGGAACCAACCCAAAUGUCCAUCAAUUAUAGACUGGAUAAAGAAAAUGUGGCACAUAUACACCAUGGAAUACUAUACAGCCAUAAAAAAGGAUGAGUUCAUGUUCUUUGCAGGGACAUGGAUGAAGCAUCAUUCUCAGCAAACUCACACAGGAACAGAAAACCAAACACCACAUGUUCUCACUCAUAAGUGGGAGUUGAACAAUGAGAGCACAUGGACACAGGAAGGGGCCCAUGGACUUCGGACUGCAUCCGUGGCACAAAAAGGUGAAGAACCGGGCUAGAGGCCAGGCCCGGUGGCUCAUGCCUAUAAUCCCAGCACUUUGGGAGGCCAAGACAAGUAAAUCUCCUGAGGUUAGGAGUUUGAAACCAGCCUGGCCAACAUGCUGAAAAUACAAAAUUACAAAAAAUA